rnacentral:lncRNA from 1 species
AAUUCAGGAGGUGUUGUCCUCGACACUCCAUGGUAGACUGAGCUGAGUGGCUUAACCAGCCAAAUGAAAGUUGGAGUAAAUAUGUGGGGGAACCCCAAGGAGAGCAGUUCCAGGAUGCUGGCAACAGAAGGUAUCUGUUAGUAGAAAAUGACAACUAUCAGUUGAUUUUCAGAGAGG